GCCGGGUGUGGUAGUGCACACCUGUAAUCCCAGCUACUUGGGAGGCUGAGGCAGGAGAAUUGCUUGAACCCAGGAGGCAGAGGUUGCAGGGAGCUGAGAUCGCGCCACUGUACUCCAGCCUGGGUGACAGAGCAACACUCUGUCUCAA
ensembl:misc_RNA Metazoa_SRP Metazoan signal recognition particle RNA